AAUUCUCAACUGCUUUGGCUUUUUACGGGCUGAAGUGAAGUUGGAUUUGGAGGAAUAAUUGCUGGCGUGACCUUUUUAGGUUGCUUGUUAGCUCCUCUUAAAUGGAUGAACUUUCCAGUAGUAAAGUAACACCAAUGUGAUAAUUAUCUACGUUGGAAUAAGCUUGCAUAAGGAAAGAUGAAAUCUGCCUUGGAGGGAAAACCCCCUUGAUGAAACAAAUGACAA
rnacentral:misc_RNA from 2 species